UCUUCCUGAAUAAACUGAGCUUGUUGUUUCUACAUUCUCGCAGAGUCUGUGUGGUUGACUCUGUGCCUACUUGGUCCCCUCCCCAAACGGAACAACAGCAAAGGAUCCUGCCACAGAUGAGGCAACUGGCUGUGAUGUGACCAACGUGUGAGAGCAAAGGAGAGGCUGGUGGCAGCUCAGGGGCAGUGCUCUACCCUCAACUGGAACAACACUUUCCAAGCAUCAUGAUCAGAAUCCGUGGUCUGGAUGCCUGCUGGAUGCCAUUGUUGGAAUCUUCUGUGACUCCACAUGAAAUUGAUCAGCUUUUGUCAGUGGAUUAUGCUGGCAUUACUAUAGCUGCAUCAUCAUUUGACCCUUAUGACGUUCCUGGGAGAUUGAAUCUGAGUAACAAACACUAUUUCCUAGUGGAAGCCAUUGGAUAUCAGUUUGUUAAAGCAUUAGAGUGAAUGUCCCCAUGUACAUAAUAUGCUACUUUGUGUUGAGUUAUUUUCUUCUGAAAGUAAAAUUGAACAAAAGUGA